rnacentral:lncRNA from 1 species
GCAUGCGAAGUGUAGAAAACCGUUCCGACUAUUCACUCUGCCUUGGCGCUGCUGUCACAGUGAUUACAAGUUUUAUUUUUUGUAAAAAGCAUAGUUAUUAUUUGAACAUUUAUCCCGUGCGAAAAAAAUGUUUAAAAAAUAAACGGAGAGAGAGAAGAAUUUAUAUGGUCAGUUCUGACAAUCCGCCUGCACUACCGCUAAAGACGGCACUCCUUCCUAAUUUUGAAUAAUGGCACCAAAAAGAAGAAUGUUAACUGGUCAUAGGGAAAAGAAAAGGAGAUGUACUAAAGCACGUGUUCGAUAUGAACAGGAAAAACCGUUUCAAAUCAAAUAUAGAUGUGCUGAUGCUGAUGAUAUUUCAAAUAG